AAUGAAUAUUUGAGCAGGAGAGCACUUUGCACUGGGAAGUCCCCGGACAUGCUGUGACAUGAAGUUCUGACGAUUUGGGCUCCAGUGGUUUUGCAACGGGGCUGCUGCUGUUUUCCUGUGGUGUUUUAAAAGGUCCCAGUAAGGCGCUUUACCUUUACUCCCUGUUUUUUUCUGGGAUCAUUAUUUUUUAGAUAAACAUGCCCAUCCUUUGCUGUUGCUGUCUCUCAUCGUCUCCAGAAGAGGGGUCUUCAGUAAGGAGGGGACCCUCACGCUGAAGCUGGUGAACGUACGUGCCAUCGACACCCACUUCUCAGAUAUUGCUAAAACAUUUAACAAGCAGCACAAUGAUCACUCUGCCAUGAUGAGGGCUGCCCAAAAGCUGAAGGAGGUUUCUGGCUGUGCUCCCACUGCUAGUCUUACAGCCUGCAUAGAGAUGAUGCAGCAGGAGCAUGGUAAGCAGACCAAAAGUAAAGAUUAAAUGAGGCCAACUUUACAAUAAUCAGAACCAUUCAAGUUGCCAUCAUUGUUAUAGGGCUGCUGUGUCACAGUACCUGUAUCUGGAGCCUGCUCAGAGCCCG
rnacentral:lncRNA from 1 species